rnacentral:rRNA from 1 species
CCCUUAGAUGUUCUGGGCUGCACGCGCGCUACACUGAAGCGUUCAACGAGUAUUCACCUUGCCCGGGAGGGUUGGGUAAUCUUUUGAAAACGCUUCGUGAUGGGGAUAGAUUAUUGCAAUUAUUAAUCUUCAACGAGGAAUUCCUAGUAAGCGCGAGUCAUCAGCUCGUGCUGAUUACGUCCCUGCCCUUUGUACACACCGCCCGUCGCACCUACCGAUUGAAUGGUCCGGUGAAAUCUCCGGACUGGCGUGAGUCGGAGCAAUCUGACAAACGCCGGAAAGUUGAUUAAACCUUACCAUUUAGAGGAAGGUGAAGUCGUAACA